GUCUGUCGAACUGAUAGUGGUUUUGUUUGCCGAAGAUUAGAAUAUUAAAUGAUCGUUCAUUAUGAAAGAAUCGAAAAUCAUUUACAAACGAGCAGUAAGAACCAGUUUGUCGACGAGUCAACAUCAUUCUUAAACAACAUACUAAGCCUUGACUGUUCCUCAUCACCUCGCCAUAAUGCAAAUCACAUAUUUGUUUUCUGGGCUUCUAUCUCUACUCGUCGUUUCGAAUCUGUCGCCAGCAGAAGCGGUGUGUCAAUGGACGGGAUGUGGAAAAUCAUGUCCCAGCGGAGUUAAGACAUUAAUUCGAACUAGAGACGGCUGUGGUGGCCUUGACGAGAAAUCAAAAUGCUGCUUUGAUCACCCAGUUCAUUGUCAGGUUACGGGAUGUGGCCAAGAAUGUCCAAGUGGUGUGAAAACUUUAGCCGUGACUAACGAAGGAUGUGGCGGCUUCGACACAAGAUCAAUGUGUUGCAUAAACCAACCGGCCACGUGUGAAUGGAGUGGCUGUGGAUAUAGUUGUCCCAGCGGAACGAUUACGUUAGCCAAAUCGGGUAAGGAGUGCAGCGGUUUUGACAUAAAGUCUUAUUGCUGUAAGAGCGGUGCGUACAGUUGUGAUUUUGGUGGUUGUGGAAGUAGCUGUCCAUCUGGUACGACAUUUUUAGCUGAAACAAAGUGUAGCGGUUUUGAUACGAAGAAAGCGUGCUGCCUGCCGCAAAGAACUGUGGGCUUUAUUGUUGGUUAGUAGAAACCGGAGCUGUUUUCAAUCACAUAGAGAAACGUAAAAAAUAAAGGCAAUUUGCAACACCUUUGAGGAUA